rnacentral:lncRNA from 1 species
AACACCUUGAACGUAUCUAUCUGGAUCCAGAGCUUGUACAAACAUGGUGGUUCAACAUGGCGGACUCCGGAUGUUUCCAGAGGGUCAGACAGACUGGUGGAGUCCCAGUGGCUGCAGUGGGGGUGUCACUGGGGACUCUGGUGUAUUUUGAGGGACAGCACAUUACAGGAGCUGCGGGGAGCUGUCUGCUGGUCCGCCUGUGAGCCCAGCUGUUGGAGCCGGCGGAGGGGCGGAGCGGGAGGCGAGGGCAGAGGAGCAGCGUGGCAUCACAACGCGACAUCUGCCGGUCCUGGGGGGUCGGACGGCCCACGGCUGGGCCCCUGGCUGGCUCGCCAACAUGCUCCGUGUUGUCUGACAGCAUUUAGCUCGGUGUUAACACGCAGCUGGAAGCAGGGGGAGGACGGGGGAGGCACUCAGGGGGAGUUAGAGAAAGUGUGAACAGGCCGGAGGUGAAAUGUGACAUGUUGUGUUUCUACAGUAAUUUAUAUAGAAAGAAAAAAUCACCUUCAACUGCAGUUUAUUUAUUAUUUAUCAUUUAUUUAUUUAUUGAGGAUUGAAUCAGUUUGUAGAAAGAAAGAAACAGAUUGACUUUAUUUGUUAUUUAAAUAUUAAUGUUAUAAAUAAAAGUGACUCUAAGUUAUUAUUUAUAAUAUAGCAUAAAUAUUGAGCUCAUUUUAGACCCAUCAAUAAUAAUACAUCGUCCUUUAUUAUUGAUUAUAUUUCAUAUGAUCAUAAUCUUAAAUCGGUAAAUGAAUUGUACUUAAGUAAAAGUACUUAGUUACUUUCCAGCACUGUUUAUUGUUUCCAAACAAACCCGAUCAAUACUUUCUGUUUGCUCCAAUCACUGCCAGUGCUGAUCAUCAAUUAUUCAUCCAAUCACACACACACACACACACACACACACACACACACACCUUCUCUGUCGAUCAAUAUCUGAUCGUUCAGACGAGGCCUCGUGAGAUUUCCUGACAUACAAAACCAUCUGUUUAUUAUUAUUAUUAUUAUUAUUAUUAUUAUUAUUAUUAUUACUGUUAUUGUUGUUAUUGUUGUUGUACAUAAAUAAGAGUAAAUAUAUCACAGUAUAGAAUAAAUACUACAUUACUGGUACAAACACAUUAAUAAGUAAACAGGUUCUGGCUGUAAAAUCAUAAAUAAAAAUGAAAACAGACAUUUUAUAAACUGCAGAUUAAAUGAACAACCCUAACUCUUCCUCUCAGCUCCGUCAUUAAAUCACUGAAACCUGCAGUCAGCUUCUGUCUCUGUGUUUCUGUGGGCAGUGAUUGUUAAGGUGGAACUGCUUUAUUCAGUGAUUGUUAAGGUGUAACUGCUUUAUUCAGUGUGUUUAAGGUGGAACUGCUUUAUUCAGUGUGUUUAGUGGUUUUAAUCAGCGGGUCUGUUUGUGUUGGAGAGGAGGAGACCUCUGUGGAUCAUUGGGCUCCCGGUAGAAACCUCCUGAACCAUGAACACUGAAGGAAUCCUAACCAGGAGAAGCUGACUGCAAUGACGCCAAUGGUGGUGAAGACAACAACUCCCAUGAUCCCACGCUGCUUUACCACCUCAUUGUUUUAGUGGCAGAAAUGAUUGUAGGUUUUAAUAAAAUGCAGUUUUUGUCUCUUCAGACGUAGAAGUAGAUAUUUGGAGUCAGAUGAUCUUCGUCCUCAUCAACCUCACUGUGGUCCUCACACUGAUACACACUCCACAGGGAGUUUGUUGCUGAAAGAUCAAACGAGAAGAAACUCUGAACACAAUGAAUUCCUCAAAGACGCCCCAGGAAAAUGUAAAUUAUAUAAAAUAUAUAUAAAUAUAAAAUAUUGGUAAUCCACUUAACUGCUGCUGUUAGCUGCACAGCCUCCAGCUGCUGGAGCUCAACAUGCAGAUUAAUGCUGCACACUGUGUGAAAGGAUCUGCUGUCUGCUGGGAAAGUCUGUUUCUAUUAGAGUCCAAACUACAGUAAAUACAGUAAACUUUAUCUCAUAUGUUUUCUAAUGAUGCCAAACUGCCUCAUCUCGGCUCUCAUUUUAACCUUUAAUAUGAAACAUGACCCGACCAGCAGUCAGCAGCCUCCACUGUCAGACCCAGUGACCGAAUAUAAACAAUUCACUUCAGUUUCAUCUCUGCUGGACACAAAUUACAGGUUGUAAGAUUACAAAUGUGAAAAAUAUGUUGCAUAUAAUUUUCCUAAUAGUCAGUGAAACAGGAGGGUACGAAGGAGGGAGAUAAAUGAGGUAGAAAUUAAUGUUAUAUUAUUAUAUUUAUAUGAUUCACAACAAAUGUUGUUUAAUAAAUGUUCCUGAUUUAGAUUGGAUCAUUAUUGGUAAAGGAGCUCUAGUGGAACCUUUCAGACUCUAUGGAUUAUAGACUGUUGGUUUAUGCUCAGUUAUACAGCCGUUGGCACUAAUCUAUGUUUCUACAUUAGUUUAUUAUUUAUUCCUGUUGUUUGAUGUUUGCUGCAGUGUUACUGGUGGAACAGUUAUGUUUGUCUUUUCUUGUUGUUUGGAUGUGAGAGACCCUGAGGAGGUG